rnacentral:sRNA from 1 species
ACGUUAUUGUCAUGUUCUCCUAGUACUAUUGUGGUCAUUACGAUCCGGAGUAUGAGUUAAAUAAAAUUAAUGACGACGAUCACGUUCCGGAUAAGCUCAGGGUGUUCAACGUUAUGGCCAACAGUCCAGAAUUCGCAAGAGCUUUUAAGUGUUCAGAAAGGUCAGCUUUAAAUCCUGAGAAGAAAUGCAGUGUUUGGUGAAGUCUUGAACCAUGGAAUAUUUCCUGCCUGUUAAAACAACACACUCUGUUAAAUGUUAGCGUUAAUUUUGUGUAUAAAACCAAAUUGUAUGCAAUAUAAUUUAGACCAUUUUGUUUGCCUAUAUAUUCUAUGUUAAUAUAAUUAUCAAUAAAAUGAAGUAAACA